rnacentral:rRNA from 1 species
CCUACGGGGGGCAGCAGUGGGGAAUAUUGCACAAUGGGGGAAACCCUGAUGCAGCGACGCCGCGUGAGUGAAGAAGUAAUUCGUUAUGUAAAGCUCUAUCAGCAGGGAAGAAAAUGACGGUACCUGAGUAAGAAGCCCCGGCUAACUACGUGCCAGCAGCCGCGGUAAUAAGUAGGGGGCAAGCGUUAUCCGGAUUUACUGGGUGUAAAGGGAGCGUAGACGGCAGUGCAAGUCUGGAGUGAAAGGCGGGGGCUCAACCCCCGGACUGCUCUGGAAACUGUACGGCUGGAGUGCAGGAGAGGUAAGUGGAAUUCGUGGUGUAGCGGUGAAAUGCGUAGAUAUUAGGAGGAACACCAGUGGCGAAGGCGGCUUACUGGACUGUAACUGACGUUGAGGCACGAAAGCGUGGGGAGCAAACAGGAUUAGAUACCCGAGUAGUC